AGUCAUUCAGUGCGUUCAACAGGGAUCGGAGCAGAAACCAAGAUGCUGACACUGUUCUGAACUGUGUCUGUCCUCUUCGGACAUCAAGUUGCUGCUCGGGAAAAGGUGGAAGAGGUGGACAACUUCUGUAAAGAAAUUGAUUGUCUCUUACCAGAGACCACCAUUUUGGAGAACGGUUAUGAAGAAGUUACAUUUAAUCCAUCCCCAUGGGUUGAAACAACAGUCCAUGGAAUGGAUUUGAAAGAUGCAGUGAAGGCCGGCUUCGAGCGACUUUUCAAAUAUUCACAGUUCAACAACGAUAAUGGGCAUUUGAUGAAAGUGAUGGCAGUAACCUUAGCAGCGAACAAUAUGAAGGCCGAGUGUUCCAAUUGAUGAAGGCUUUGGAAGCAGACAACAGACCCUUUGACAAAAGUGUCUUUUACAUUGGUUGGUUUAAUGGACAGAGGCUAAUGGAAGUUGCCUUUCAAAAGGAAAUUUGAAAUUGUUCUGAUUCGGUCAGACAUCAAACAGUGAGGUGUGCUUAUUUCUAUUGUAUGGUUCUAAACAUUUUGAUCGCCCAUCGAGCACAUAUUGGAUUCAGUCUGUGUAUGUGUCAGUACUUGGUGUUUGAACAACUCCCCUCAUCUCCUCUUUUCAGAUCCCGAUGGCCCUGUUAAUAAACACUGCCCUCCACCAGCAGUGAGAAGGAUUUGUCGCCAACCCACACUGCCUCAUUUUGACAUGGUGAGUUUUAUUCAGCUCUCUUAACUUCGACAGUCACGCGGGUUUUGCUCUUUCUGAAAUUGUUCUAAAUUCAGUAUUCAUAUUUUUUAAGUCUAAUUAUUUUAAGAAGCUUCUCUCUUGUGUGAGUUCAGUUCAAAGUGUGACAACAUAAUCCUGCGGAGGGAGAU